rnacentral:rRNA from 1 species
GAUCCUGGCUCAGGACGAACGCUGGCGGCGUGCUUAACACAUGCAAGUCGAACGAUGAAGUUAUGACGGAGGCUCCGGCCGACAGAAUAAUGGAAUAGUGGCGGACGGGUGAGUAACGCGUGAGUAACCUGCCUUUCAGAGAGGAAUAACAUUUGGAAACGAAUGGUAAUACCACAUAACAUUACGUUCUCGCAUGGGGAUGUAAUCAAAGAUUUUAUCGCUGAGAGAUGGACUCGCGUCCG